GCACUUCGGGAUAAGCCUGGGAAACUGGGUCUAAUACCGAAUAGGACCAUUUAGCGCAUGCUUUAUGGUGGAAAGCUUUUGCGGUGUGGGAUGGGCCCGCGGCCUAUCAGCUUGUUGGUGGGGUGACGGCCUACCAAGGCGACGACGGGUAGCCGGCCUGAGAGGGUGUCCGGCCACACUGGGACUGAGAUACGGCCCAGACUCCUACGGGAGGCAGCAGUGGGGAAUAUUGCACAAUGGGCGCAAGCCUGAUGCAGCGACGCCGCGUGGGGGAUGACGGCCUUCGGGUUGUAAACCUCUUUCACCAUCGACGAAGGUCCGGGUUUUCUCGGAUUGACGGUAGGUGGAGAAGAAGCACCGGCCAACUACGUGCCAGCAGCCGCGGUAAUACGUAGGGUGCGAGCGUUGUCCGGAAUUACUGGGCGUAAAGAGCUCGUAGGUGGUUUGUCGCGUUGUUCGUGAAAACUCACGGCUUAACUGUGAGCGUGCGGGCGAUACGGGCAGACUGGAGUACUGCAGGGGAGACUGGAAUUCCUGGUGUAGCGGUGGAAUGCGCAGGUAUCAGGAGGAACACCGGUGGCGAAGGCGGGUCUCUGGGCAGUAACUGGCGCUGAGGAGCGAAAGCGUGGGGAGCGAACAGGAUUAGAUACCCUGGUAGUCCACGCCGUAAACGGUGGGUACUAGGUGUGGGUUUCCUU
rnacentral:rRNA from 1 species